AGAAGAACUUGCAACCUAAUGGGAGAGAUGCAAACAUACAAACAAGCUAUAGACAGGAUAUACUGGAAAUAAUCAGUAGAGGGAAGGCAAUUCAAUUAAGAGGGAUUGGGAAAGGCUUCUUUUAGAAUGGUGAAUUUUAUCUGGGCAUCAAGGGAAGCCAGGAAACUUAGGAGGGAAGGAUGAGAAGGCGAAGGAUUCCAGGCAUGGAGGAUAGCCAGAGAAAAUGUUUACAGUUGAGAGAUGGAAUGUUUGAUUCAUGGAAUAGCCAGCAGGCCAACAGCACUGAUAGACUGAAAAGUACAUUUCAGCCUAUCAGGUAUAAGAAACCUGGAAAGGUGAGGUAGGAGUCUCAGUUAGGAUGGGUUUUGAACACCAAAACAGAUUUGAUAUCUAAUCCUGGAGUUAAUAGAGAGCCAAUGGAGCCUUGAUGCUUCCCAUUAUCUUUGGGAACUUGAGUAAAUCAUCCAAUCUCCAUGAGCCUCAGUUGUAUGAUGUGUAAAAUGAGAGGUUCUUGGCUUUUGAGUAUCUUUCAGCUCUAGAUCUGGGAUCUAGCAGGAUCUCCUUUGAUUCUGGAAGGAAGGUCCCCAAGGGAGGGAGUGGCAUGUGAGAGAGCCCAAGUCUUUUGCAGAAAGCACAAAUCCAGAGGAAUGAAGAUACUAAGGAGGUGAGAGGUUAAUAGUUAACAAUUCUGGACUUCCUGGCUAAGAUGGCUGCAGCAUAGCAGGAAUGGCCUGAUUCUCCUCACAACCAAUUACUACAAAGUGUCUCAAAAGGACAAAAAUUAGAAUCAGAUGAGUGAAGGGGCUCUCCCACUGGAUGCAGCUUCGAAGAAAUGCUUUAUUGUGAGUUCAGCCUACCGGGCAUCCUUUCAUCCAUUAUCUAAAAAUGCCUACAUGAAAAGACAGCUGGCCUUUAGAGUAAGGCAGAAAGUAAGAGAAGGAUCUAUGGAAGAAGAGGGACUCGAACUGGGUCUUAAGGAAGAGGAUUUCAAUAACCAGAGAUGGAGAAGGAAUGAAUUUCAAGCAGGGAGGAAAUCUCCUUGCAUGAAUGUACAGAGGUUAGAAGAGGGCAGCAUUGAAAACAGCUUUGUCCUCCAAAGACAAGAAGAGAGACUUCAAAGAAACAGUGGGUUACAUCACACUAAAAGAAGUCAAAUAAGUGGUUCUUACUCAUGUGACUGUUAAGGUCAUGCAUAAAGUUGUGAGUAUGGACCCUACAGUGGUAAUCUACCUUCCAUUACUCCCAAUUUCUUUUCCGGAGACAAGACUGCCAAGUACUUAACAUGCAAUAAACUAAUUUCAAAAGGUGUCA
ensembl:lncRNA